GUCUUUGUGUCUCCCGAGCUUAGUACAGCGCCAGGCACAUAGUAGGUGUUUAAUGGAUACGGAUUGGUAGUUAACGCCUACUGUGUGCCGGUCGCCGUGCUCAGCAGUUGGAUCCUCGCCCUGA
rnacentral:precursor_RNA from 12 species